rnacentral:rRNA from 1 species
ACAGUCCUUGGACAAUUCUUCAUUUAUGUGAUCUCAAAUCAGGUAGGACUACCCGCUGAACUUAAGCAUAUCAAUAAGCGGAGGAAAAGAAACUAACAAGGAUUCCCCUAGUAACUGCGAGUGAAGCGGGAAAAGCUCAAAUUUAAAAUCUGGCAGUCUUUUGGCUGUCCGAGUUGUAAUCUAGAGAAGUGUUAUCCGCGCUG